UAAAUGACAUCAUUAUGCGAGGUGUUCCAAUUGCUCUAGGUUGGGAAAAUUGCGAUGAAAAACGAACUUUUUUUGCAGAUAAAAACAUGUUUGUGGACAUAUUGAGUGUUAUUAGCAACACAAAAAUUGAUUGCAACGGAUUAUUCUCGGUUCAAAUCUAUAUCAUCAUUCAAAACAGCAUCUGACUGAGUUGUAUUAUAUGUCAUAAUCAUUCCUUGUUAACCAACUGCAUUGCGCAAGAAGAUGACGCAUGACGAAAAAUUUUCAGAUGCAGAGAAAACAUACAUACCGUCCUCCAGUGAAGCAGUUUCCAUUGCAGCCACCAAAGGCAGAGAACACGACGGCAAUGGGGAUGAUGAAGGUUGCACCGCCUAGUACAACAUCGCCCCAUGACUGGAAAUAGACAUAGUGUUACCGUGGUUACUGACCACCCUAAAUUCCCUUACCCUUUUGCAUGAGUUCACCAAAAAUUCUUCACCUUUAAACUAAUCUAACAAAGUUAGAUUUUUUUAUACAAACUGAAAAGAAGGAAAUGAGCAUUAAGGAGGAGAAACCACAAUCCUGGGCCGAGAGAGGCUAAAGUGUGACUAUGUUCAGUUUAUUGGUUACUUCUUCAAACAACAAAAUAAAAACCUUUAAUAGAUAAACCUGAAGAAAACUUACCGAGGCUACAGCAGUGGACAUCAGUAGGUCGUACUUGGAAAGCACAGUGAAGUAGGAGAUGUUCAUCAGGAUGUAGCAGAUGGUCACAAACGGGAUACCAACAAUGAUUGCCAGGGGCAGGUUACUGUGAAUAGAACACAGACGCCGCAGCAUAAAAUAUUAGUGUCCAGUGGAUAGUCAUCAUGCAAACUUAUUUAUUUUUUAAUAUAUAAUUACAAAAAUUAACAAAUGGAAAUAAAAAGGAAUGCAAGA